UACAGAGGGUGCAAGCGUUAAUCGGAAUUACUGGGCGUAAAGCGCGCGUAGGUGGUUUGUUAAGUUGGAUGUGAAAUCCCCGGGCUCAACCUGGGAAACUGCAUUCAAAACUGACAAGCUAGAGUAUGGUAGAGGGUGGUGGAAUUUCCUGUGUAGCGGUGAAAUGCGUAGAUAUAGGAAGGACACCAGUGGCGAAGGCGGCAUCCUGGACCAAAUUCUGACACUGAGGAGCGAAAGCCAGGGGAGCAAACGGG
rnacentral:rRNA from 1 species